AUGGGAGAGGCGCCCCGGCGCCAUCUUGGUGGCGAUUUUUGCUGCUUGAGGUUCUGCUGAAGCGGCGGCGAACGCGCGGAGGGUGAGGCGGGUCAGGAAAUUCUCGGCUUUUAGCUGCCAGCUGUCGCGCUGUCCGUCGUUUUAUCAUCCAGGACGCACGGAUACCGUCUGAUCUUUUUCUCAAUUGCAAGAGUCAAGCUUGAGUCACGUAUCUAUUGUGGACCCCAAUGUCAAAAGGAAGACAACAUCUUCAAAAGUAAUAUUGCCUUAUGUACAAAAAUAAAUUAUAUUUUAAUCCUGAA